rnacentral:lncRNA from 1 species
AAAUAUAGUGGCCUUCUAAGAAGUUUUCCAUCGCAUCUCCGUUCAUUAUCCCCUAUAAAUAGCCUCUUCAAAACUCAUUGACAGAACAUCAAGGUUGGAAUAAUAGAUAAAACAACUCCCACCACUUUCAAAAUAAAGAGAUUUCCCCUAACACUACCUGUUUUUGGUAUAUCAACUAGGUUUUGGAAAGGAAUACAGUUCAAUUCGUCACUAGCUUGUUCUAGAGCUUUCAUUGCCAACAAGGGAAAUGAAAGAAAUGAUAUGGGAAAAUGAUGAAUGUCAGAAUCAAGGUCUACCAUUCCCCACAUUUUGUAUUCUUUUUAUGCCUACUUUUUAUCAUAUAUUAUUUUAGUUUAGUUUUAUUUAUUUAAUAUACAGUAUGGGAUAUAGCUUUAUAUCGCAAACAACUUAAUCCUAGAGAGAAGCUCAUGUCUGGAUGUGGAGCGUAGGAGUUUUGAUUGGAAACAUAACCCCCGUUAACCCACUAAUGACUGAUAGUGUGGACUAAGAACAGAACUUAUAGCACGGUGGUGAGUUGCAAGUCUAAGGCUUAUAUAUUAUUAUGGGGUGGUGUAAAAGUUGUUAGGCACUGUGGAAGUUUAGAAUUUUUGUGCCCUUCCUAAUCUAGAAAAUUGAUAGUUUUGGAUUGGGGUAAAGUAGUAUUUAGGACUAAUUUACAAUUGCUAUUUAAAAGAGAUGUGAAGAAACCCCUUUAUUAAAUAUUUUUUUGAAAAUUUUGACGUAAGAUUUAAGUAUUUAGUAUUGCUAUUAAAAAGUAUUUUUAAAAAAUAAAAUGUUUGUUCUUGACACAUAAUGUUGCAAAGUAAAAAAAAGGCAUUUGAAUGAGAUUCAAAUUCGUUAAUAUAAUGAUAUUUCAAUAAAAUAUAACAAAAUAGUUUAUUGUAACUCAUUUUUAAUUUCAAUAGAAUAGUUAUCAAGAUUAGGACUAAAUUUUGUUUUUUUUCUCUCCUGAAAAAUACAAUAAUACAUAUAUAUUCUUUUGUCCCCUUUAAUUCGUUCUCUUGAGUUUCGUUAUUGGCAGACAUGGAAN